CCUACGGGUGGCUGCAGUCGAGGAUCUUCGGCAAUGGGGGCAACCCUGACCGAGCGACGCCGCGUGUGCGAUGAAGGCCUUCGGGUUGUAAAGCACUUUAGUGGGGGAGAUCUAUCCCAAAAAUAAGCACGGGCUAAGUUCGUGCCAGCAGCCGCGGUAAGACGAACCGUGCGAACGUUGUUCGGAAUCACUGGGCUUAAAGGGCGCGUAGGCGGACUAUCAAGUCUGGGGUGAAAUCCCGCGGCUCAACCGUGGAACUGCCUCAGAUACUGACGGUCUCGAGGGAGGUAGGGGCAUGUGGAACUGUAGGUGGAGCGGUGAAAUGCGUUGAUAUCUACAGGAACUCCGGUGGCGAAAGCGACGUGCUGGACCUCUCUGACGCUGAGGCGCGAAAGCUAGGGGAGCAAACGGGAUUAGAUACCCUUGUAGUC
rnacentral:rRNA from 1 species